rnacentral:rRNA from 1 species
AUUGAACGCUGGCGGCAUGCUUUACACAUGCAAGUCGAACGGUAACAGGUUAAGCUGACGAGUGGCGAACGGGUGAGUAAUGCAUCGGAACGUGCCCGAUCGUGGGGGAUAACGCAGCGAAAGCUGCGCUAAUACCGCAUACGAUCUGAGGAUGAAAGCGGGGGACCGUAAGGCCUCGCGCGAUCGGAGCGGCCGAUGUCAGAUUAGGUAGUUGGUGGGGUAAAGGCCCACCAAGCCGACGAUCUGUAGCUGGUCGGAGAGGACGACCAGCCACACUGGGACUGAGACACGGCCCAGACUCCUACGGGAGGCAGCAGUGGGGAAUUUUGGAAAAUGGGCGAAAGCCUGAUCCAGCAAUGCCGCGUGCAGGAAGAAGGCCUUCGGGUUGUAAACUGCUUUUGUACGGAGCGAAAAGGUCCUUUCUAAUACAAGGGGCUCAUGACGGUACCGUAAGAAUAAGCACCGGCUAACUACGUGCCAGCCGCCGCAGUAA